rnacentral:rRNA from 1 species
CAGCCGCCGCGGGAAUACGGAGGGAGCUAGCGUUGUUCGGAAUUACUGGGCGUAAAGCGCACGUAGGCGGCUUUGUAAGUUAGAGGUGAAAGCCUGGAGCUCAACUCCAGAAUUGCCUUUAAGACUGCAUCGCUUGAAUCCGAGAGAGGUAAGUGGAAUUCCGAGUGUAGAGGUGAAAUUCGUAGAUAUUCGGAAGAACACCAGUGGCGAAGGCGGCUUACUGGCUCAUACUGGACGCUGAGGUGCGAAAGCGUGGGGAGCAAACAGGAUUAGAUACCCCUGUAGUCCCUGUCUCUUAUAC